GAUGACUAUGAUCUGUACUGCUUCUGGAGAAACUGCUGAAUUCCAUGGUCCAUACUGAUACCCAAGAUCAUUAUGAGAAAUUGGGCAGGAAUCCAUUAUAUCUAUUGCUGAUGGAGAUGCUGAUGAUGGCUAUGAUCUGUGUUGCUGCUUGAGAAUCUGAUAAAUUCCAAAGUCCUUACUGAUGCUUGAAUUCAUAUUGAGAUGAAGUGUACUCCCAGCCUAACCAUUUUGAUGUCAUGAUGCAUCCUACCACUAGAGAAGAGGUUUCUCUACAAGGUCCUACUAGGUAUCUGAAAAUGUCUGAA